ensembl:lncRNA
CCAGAACUUCCUCGGGGGAGGCUGGAGCAGAGCACGAGCAUCCUGCUCAGAACUCUCCAGAGCGCGCAGGCCAGAGCAGUCGUCUGCGCCCAUGGCGCGCUGGGAGAGGGUCCCCUGCCCGGAUGCUUUAGUCUGGACCCUGCAGACAGCAGGAGGGGGGCUGAGGCCUCCCCAGGGAGAGGCUGACACCGUCAGGCUGGAACCUUCCAUUCCGGCCCAGCCUCUUCCCCCCUCGCUGCGCAAGGAGGGAAUCGAGAAGGGACUUUCCAGAGAGCGUUAGCGUGCAGGGUGUGGAAAUGGAAUAAAAGCAUAUGCAAAUAGGCCUUUGCGUGCCUUCCUCUACCCAAGUGAGCAAGAGCCUUUCUCCAGAAAGAUGCUCUUGCUCCAAGACACUUGACAGCUCUCUUCCUUCCCUGGAUGGCAGCGGCGGGGCCGAGUGGAGUGGAAACAAUCACCAAGUUUGAAGUGGAUAGGCUGGAAGACCAGAGAGAAAAGUAUGGCCCACUUCUGUUGAGUGAAUCCAGCCUUCAGACGGUUUCUGCCGACAUUAAACAUAUUUUAUAUUAGGCUUUGUCUGCUUCCCAGCCAACCUGGCCCCCGAGCCUAGCAGUGCCAGCACCCGCUGCAUGGGCUGCAAUCACUUGUGAGUUGUGUUUCGUUAAAUCUCUUUUCUCGUACCAAGAACUCGCUUCAUGGUUAUAAGGGGAUUUUGUUUUACACAAAGGGCUGGCGAGGUUCAACACCAGGAUAACGCUGCAGUUUCUUGGUGCCAAGAUUUAUCAACCCUGUUUCUUUAAUAUUGCCAUCCCUGCUCCAGCUUUCCUCUUAAGGCUGUGUGCACAGAUCCAAAUGAGAUAGUUAUGCAGACGAUUUAGAAACUUUUUAAAAGUAAAGUGCUAUGUAAGGGACUAUUUUUUUUUAUAGUGAGAGCAUAAAGUAAUUUGAAUGCAUCUCCUCUACACCUUCUGGGAGUGAACUGGAAGACUAGGAAUUAUUUAGUUUGAAAGGAUUUUAGAUUUGCAGAAUUACACUGGAUUAGCAGCUCUCCUGAAAGCCUCACAUACUGGAAACUCAAUCCUUUGUUCUGACUCUAGAUAGCAAGAGCAAAGUGCCACAGUAAUUUUUUUUGGCAAAAUCGUAUUUAUAACAACUUUUGGGUUAGUUUUUGUUUUUUUCCCUCAAAUGGUGGGAAAAAUACAUAAAACAGAGGGGGAUGAAUUCUUGAAAAUAGAAACAAAUAGCUUCUCUAACGUAAACCACCAAGACCAAAUCUGGUGUGGGAUUUCUUUUCAUAGGACAAAUUAUACUUUUACCCAACAGAGUUACACAAUAGAAUUCUGCCUUAAAAAAGAAUUCAGCUUUUUAUUGAUUUAAUACAACUUCCAUUUUCCUGGGCUCUGCACUGAGGAAAUGCUAAUAAUGGAUAGAACAGCCCUGUUGAUAAAUGUGAAUGCUCAGUGGUUAAAAGGCUUUCGUAUUGUUCUUUUGUUUCCAUGUUUUCUGACUGCAAAUCUCAUGAAGUUGACAAAAUGGCUCAUAGUGCACAGUUCGUCUUGGUAAAUAGGAGGCAGUGACUUUUCUGAGUUGUUCUGUCUGGCUCUCCGUUUUGGCUGAGAAAUGGUUCUGGCUGUGCAGUUUAGGUCCAUUUUGACCUGGCUCCUUCAGAAGCACGGGAAGAAAUUAUUGCCUCACUGGAGAUGCAGACUCUGAGGAACUGGAGGUUGGAGGGUCUGGGUGACCUGGUACAGGUGGGGUUUGGGGGCAAGGAGUGGACCACGAUGGCUGCUGAAAUGACCCACCGUUCAGAUCCUCGUGGCCUCUGAUGUCCCCUGUCCAGGCAAUGCAGCGACUCUUCAGAGAGCUUGUGAGGAGGUUGUCUGAAAGUUAUGCUGGUCUUCAGAACCAGAACACAUCAGUCGAGCGGAGGGUGGGAGAGUGAUUAGAGACAAGAGAGGAUCUUUCGGAGGGCAGAGGGAAGAAGUUUUUAAUUAUAAGAAAAGCUUAGAAUUUAUCACAAAAUAAUUACUCAAGAAAUAUUUUCUAAUCGUCUAGCACGUACAGUGCACUCCUGCUACAGGGAAUGAGGUUGAGAAUGUCCGUCUUGUCAGACUUGCACUGAUGGAUUCAAGACCCCGCAGGAUCAAGUGUUAAAUUGCGUGAUCAGAUGAUGGGUACUUGGGACAUUUCUUGCCCUCCUCCCAACUGUUCACCACACCCAGCCAGAAUAUUUAAAAAUGCAAUCGGAAUCACAUGGCUUUCCUGCUUCCUCUGAUUUCUGUUAGGGUCAACUCCAGAUUCCUAAGUAAGGCUGAUGGAAGCUGGCCCUGGGCUGCCUGGGCCUCCCUUACUUCUGUGCCAUCCCUGGUCUCAUUAUUGGCCCCAGCAGAGGGGUCUGUCAGUCUGCCCUUGUGUGCCCAGUCGCAUCCCAUCUCGGAGUGUUUGCACAUUCUGUUCCCUCUGCCUGUAUUGGCUUUUACCUGCCCCUCACCAACCGCAGCCUAUUUCUCCUUCAGGAUUUCUCCUUCACUGUCACUUCUUCCUCACCAUCAGGUGCUUCAUAGGAUCAUGUGCUUUUCCACUGAUAGCACUUCUCACAGUUGAGCUCAUUUGUUUUGUGUGACUGUCGAUGAGAUCUCUGUCUCUCCUGUUAUCUCCAUGAGGAUGAGGGCAAGGGUCAUGUUGGCCUUGUUCCCUGCUGUAUCUGUCCCAGGGCCUGACACAUAGCAGGUGCCCUGUAAAUGAAUGAUGAAUGAAUGAAUGAAUGAAUAAAUGGAUGCAUGUCGAAGGAGAGAUUCCACUGGGCCCAUGCAGUUGUCCUUUCAAAGCACUUUUAUCUCCGCCUCCUGGGGCACUUGGUAUGUUGUUCUAAAUGUGCUGUUUGUCCAUCCUCACAUGCCCAUAAGCUUGAGAGGGCAGGGAUUGGACCAUAGUCCUCUUUUCAUCUCUAGUCUGGCUCACGUAGAAACUCAGUGAAGCUUUUGCGGAUGAACAAGGAGUUGUGCAUGAAUGGGGUGGGAGUGGGGGGGGGGGGGGCUUAUCUGAGUUUUAAAGGGUGACUGGGGAUGAGGGUGAAAGAAACGUGGAUUUAAACAUCCAAAAUGGCAGUAAGAGUUGGGAUGCAAAAGAAGAUUACGGUUAAAAAAAAAAGCUGAAAACCUGAAUUAGAAAAAUACCGGAUAGUCAUCAGACACAGCUUGACAGGAUGUGCUCAUGCUACAGAUGGGAGGGUUAGGGUGGGGAGGGUUCUUGGAAUUUCCCCAGCUGAACUUAAUACCUUGAGUGAUGUCUGUCUCUCUGCUUGCUGCUCACCUCAGGAGAUCUAGUCGGUCAACAGAUAUUUAUCGAGCUCCUAAUUCAUGCAUUCCCAAUGGGGGAAAUAUCACCCCAAGGGCACAAAAAUUGGCUCUUGUGGGGUAAAAAACAUCUUACUUAUUUUAUGUCUAAAGCACAGAUAUACAUAUAUUACAUAAACAGAUAUACAGUACAUCUAAGGUAUUAAAUUUCAUAGUGGGUGCGAUUAGGAAAAUAUGCCUAAAAAGGCUCUUUCAGGUGAUGAUAAUGAAAAAACGUUGAGAACUGACCUGCUCUGUGCCACACAUUAUUGGGGUCAAACUGCCCUCCCCCGUGGGGCUUUCAUUCUCGUGAGGCAGAGAGGCAAUAAACAAAUAAGUAACCAUCAUUCUCAGAGAAGGAGAAAUUCUGUCAAGAAGAAAAGCGAGGCAAGGGGAGAGAGUGCCUGGGGGUGAGCAUGGGCGACCGCGUUAUUUUAGGUGGAGGUCAGGUGACUCUGAGGAGUGACUCUUGAGAAGGGUCUGGAAGAACUGAGGGGCAAACAGUGCCAAUAUUUGGAGGAAGAGCAUUCCAGGAAGAUGCAAUGGCGUGGUGGAAUUGGAACAGCAAGGAGGCCACUUGGGCAGGAGUGGAUGAGUGAGGGAAGGAUGGGAGGAAAUCAGCCUGGAGACGGGACCUGGGCCAGAUCACGCGGGCCUGGUAGGCCAUGCUAAGGGGUUUGGAGGUUGCUCUGAGUGUGGUGGAAGCUUUUGGAGAGCUUGUUGAGGGAAGUGACGGGAUCUGAUUAACCUUUUGGUCAGAGCGCUCUGGCUGCUGUUUGGAGGGGGGACUGUAGAGGCAGGAGUGGAAUCAAGGCACCAGCGAGGCGGAGGCCUCUGCCGGGGUCUAGGUGGGAAGUGAUGGUGUCUUGGGGGAAGGUGAGAGCUUAGGUUCCCAUGGACUGUCAAGGUAGAGCUUGUGGGACUUGCAGGAGGAUUGAAUGGAGGGUGUGAAAGAACGAGGAGUCAGAUCUACCAAGGUUUCAGUUAGCCUGGGCCACUGGGUUCCAUUUAUGGAGACGAGGUUCAGCAUGGGAGGAGCAUGUCUUCCCGGGAACCAGUGCUAGAGUGAGGUCUUCCUUCCACCAGCUGCUGGCCCCUUGUUGACGCCAGGCUUGGUAUGUAUUAUAUGUGCCUUCUACGCUUACUGAUUUUUCAUCUGUUUACCUUGCUACCUUACCUAGUCUUUAAACUCCUUUAGGGAAGAUUUUUUCCUUUUACUUCUCCAAGAGGAGGGCAGAGGGUCAGAAUGGUUGAAAGUAUGAGUAUAACUGCUUAGCUUCUGCUCCUCCUCCUUCCCUUCCUUUCUCUUCUCCCUCUCCUCCUCUCCAUCCUCCUCCUUCUUAAUUUUUUUUUUUUUUUUUUGGCAAGCGAAGAUGGCAACAGUAUCUGCUUCCUAUGGCUUUGUGAGAGUGAAGUGAAAUUUGCAUGUGAAGUGCCUUGUUUGGGUCUGGCAAGCAGUUGGCACUUGGUGGUUAUUCAGUGGUGUGGCUCCACCCUUCCCGUUAGAUUUCUGUGUUGCUGGCUCUCUUUUCUCAGGGUCGUCUCAGUUAGAGCACUUCAGGGUGAGGGUAUCACUUUUUCCCCUUUGUGUCUUGGCUUUACUUGCUGUAAAAGCGGGAAACGAGACUCACUGGAGAGAUGAAACUGUGGAGACCUUCAAAUGUGGAUAUUUACAUUGUCCAUUACCUUGUGUUCUAAGUAUAAAAAGCCAUGUUGAGUUGAGGGUGAUGGAGAAGCCAUUCCGAGCCAGCCGAGGGAAGCGAGUGCCUAGUGGAUCAUUUUGAGUAAGUGGAAUUGAUGCUGCUGCAUGAGAAAUACGAAACGUUUGUGUAGUAAUCACCAAAUUGUGUGGAUCCAACCAGAAUAAAAAUGCCUGGAGCUUUGGCUUAGGGCCAUGGAUGAACGGAGCAUGAAGCCUGGCAUGGAACAGGAGUGAAAGGCAUGGGUGUAGCAGAGUGAAAGAUAUAAACAGAUGUAAGUUUAAGCAGAGAUGAAAAUAUGUGACUGCCUCUUUCCCUCUCUGCACUUGUGGCAGACUUUGUUAAUCUGUCACAUCAUUUAUUCCUGAUUCUUAUAUAAAACUAACAUUUCUUGAGUGUUUACUGCAUGCCAGGCACUGUGUUCUGCAAAUAUCAUCUUGCUUAUUCCCCAUAACAACUCAGUGAGAUAGAUCUAUUAUUAUCUUUAUAGUACAGCUGAGAAAACUGAGUCUCAGAGAGGGCAGUAACUUGCCCAGGACUACUCAGCUGGCCUGUGGCAGAGCGUGUUCUCUAUUCGUUGUGUUUUGCUGCCUCUAGAUAGGCCUGGGUGCGACCUCAGAAUCCUUCUACCUGGUAAAUUCAUUCCCAUCUGCUUCUUUAAGAUUGUGGGAUUCAGGUUCAUAUUAUGGUUGGUGUUCAUUUGUUUGUUCAUUCAUUCAUUUAUUCGUUCACUAAUUAAACAAUACUUUAGUGCAUCCACCAUGUGCCAGGCACAGUGUUAGGUGCUAAGGAUUCAGUAGAGAAUAAGACACAAUCACUGCUCAGGGCUACGCUCAGUGGAAGCAUCGCUUCUUGUUUAGGACUCUCAGUGGGUAGAAAGACUGAGAUUCUUGAGAUUUGGGACUAAUUUAGUGCUGCCUUCCUUGCAUUGAACCAGAAAGUAUCUCAAUUGAUGGAAAUCAGCAACAAUCUGAAAAAUGAAUUAUGAUGCUCCAGCAUGCACCCUGGACCAGAAAUUGGGCCACUUGCCACCUUUUUCUGACUUGGCUGAUUUAGCCAUUUGACCGUGGGCCUCAGUUAUAACUCACGGUCAAACAAUGUUUUCUCAUGCAUUAGUUUACUUUGCUCCUUCCAGUACCUGAUUGGAAGGAGGAGGUCUCUUAUGUGCAGAGAGGUUAUGUGACCUGCCUAGUUCUCGUACCUGAUAGGAGACAAGCUGGAGCUAGAACCCAGUUCUAACUUCUAGCUCCUUGUUUUUAUUAUCUCAUCAUGCCAGCAUCUUAAUGUCUUUAGGCCUUCAGUUUCCCCAUCGAUAAAAUAAGGAAAUUAAACCAUAUGGUCUCUCAAAGUUCUUUCCUUCCUUCCUUCCUCCCAUCCAUCACUGGAGUACCUACCAUGAACCGGGCGUUAGGCUGGAAGCUGUAAAUAAUGUUAUGGAAAACACACACACACACACACACACACACACACACACCCAUCAAGAAAGUUAAAAGACAAUCCACAGAAUGGGAGAAAAUAUUUGUAAAUCAUGUGUAUGGGCCUUGUAUCUGGAACAUAUAAAGAACUUUUACAAGUGAAUAAAUAAAAAAGACAAACAACCCAAUUACAAAAUUGGCAAAGGAGCUGAACAGACCUCUCUCCAAAGAAGACAUACACAUGGCCCAUAAGUACAUGAAAAGAUGCUCCACAUCAUUGACCAUCAGAGAGAUGCAAAUCAAAACCACAACGAGAUGCCACUUCACACCCGGUAGGAUGGCUAUAAUCAAAAGAAAGAUAACAAAUGUUGGUGAGAAUGUGGAGACCUCAAAAGGUCAAGCACAGAGUCAUCAUAUGACCCAAGCAUUCUACUCCUAGGUAUAUACCUAAGGGAAAUGAAAACGUGUCUACACGAAAGCUUGUACAUGAGCGCUCACAGAAGCAUUAUGUAUUUAUAAUAGGCAAAACCGUCCAACUGCCCAUCAACUACUGAGUGGAUAAACAAAAUGUGGUAUAUCCAUACAGUGGAAUAUUCUUCUUCCAUAAAAGGGAAUGAAGUACUGAUAUAUGCUAAAACAUGGGUAAACUUUAAGAACAUUCUGCUAAGUGAAAGAAGCCAGUCACAAAAGGCCACAUAUUGUAUGAUUUUGUUCAUAUAAAAUGUCCAGAAUAAGCAAAUAUAUAGAGACAGAAAGUAGAUGAGUGAUUGCCUAGGGCUGGGGGCACAUGAGGAGUGACUGCUAAUAGGUAUUGGGUUUAUUUUGGGGAUGAUGAAAAUGUUCUAAAAUUGAUUAUGUUGAUGGUUGUCCAACUCUGUGAAAAUACUAAAAACCAAUGAGUUGUACACUUUAAAUAGGUGAGUAGUAUAAUAUGUGAAUUAUAUCUCAAUAAAGCUAUUAUAUAUAUUAAAAAAGAAAAUCCUAGCUUGGUCUCUGCCCUUGUGGAAAACAUGAUCUCGUUGGGGAGAUAAAUACUAAUCAAAUGAUUAUAUGAUCAGAUUUAUAGUUACCAAUUAUGGUAAGUGCUAUGAAGGGAAAGAGCCGGAUGUUAAGAAAGAGAAUAGAGGAGGCUAGUGGGCAAUCGGGAAGAGGGAUUAGUAAAGCUAAAACUUCAGGUGCUCUAACAGAGAUCCCCACAGAACAGCGGCUCACACGAGGUGGAUGUUCACUUCUCGCUGACACACUAGUGCAGGCUUAAGCAGUCUGGGGCUCAUAUGGAAGCCCACGGUUUGAGGGAUCUUCUAGCCUAUUGCUCUGUUUUUCCCUGGGGGGGGCUUCCCUUGUCUGCAUGGUCCACAGUGGCUCUCCACCAUGUGUCCAGUCCAAGCAGGGAGAAGAGGGGAAGAGGGCAGUGGAAGGCUCAUUGCUUCUGCUCACAUUCAGAACUUAGUUACGUGAGGCUCGGAAGUGAAGUCAGGUACCAGGUGUCCCUGUGCCCAGAUUAAAUUUGGGGGUUCUAGUACUAUAGAAGGAGGGAAGAUGGGAUGUUGGGUGAACAAUUAGCCGUCUGUGCCGUAGAUGGCCUCUCGAGGAAGUGAUGCUGAAGGUUAGAACCUAAGAAUGAGUUGGUGUUAAGGAGAGAAGAGUUUUCCAGGAUAGCGUGUGUAAGGGCCAUGAGGUGGGAAAGACCAACUAUAACGUUUAAUGCUGUUUAGUGACACACACGUCUACGAAGCACGUGCCUCCUGAUGCAUAGGACUGACGAGCACCAGGACCAGAUGUGGUACUGGGAAGCAUUCUGUGGGUUCACCUGGCUUUUCUCUCUCGUAUCUUACAGGGCUGGGAUGGGGCCUGGACUGCGAGGAGCGGGGCUUUGCGCCAGCGCUGGAAAGCCUGUGUGUAUCCUCAGCUUUGAGAACUGAAUUCCAUGGGUUGUGUCAGCGUCAGACCUGUGAAGUUCAGUUCUUCAGCUGGGAUAUCUCUGUCAUCGUGGACUCAGGGACAUUGGAGAGAGCGGACCCAAGGUCGCCUGAAGAACUUGGAACACUGGAGACAGAAGGGCCGAGUCUCAGAAGGAAUAGGGCGGGUGGGUUCAUGGGAAGUUAAACACUCGUUUAAUUGCCAGAAGACUUGAAUUCUAUGCUGAGCAGGGUUCCAACCAGCUAAAUGAGUGCUCUCAGCAUGUCAUUCUUGCUAUCGCUGCUGCCACUGCUAGUUUACGUUUAUUGAUUACUUCCAGCGAUCCAGGUACUGUACCAAAGUGCUUUACAUGCUGUUAUAGGACACUCUUGGGAAAAAUCAUUUUAAUGAAGCUUGAGACACCCGGCACUGCCAUGCUGUGAUUUUUAUUCCCUCUUCAUGUGAUCAGAUGGAACUAAUAGAAUGUGACAAGUGUUCUUUAGCAUGGACUGUCGAGGUUACUGGUCCCUUUUUAAGAUGAGAAGCAUUGAGUACAUCCCUCUUAUGGUCCCCCUGCGUUUAUUUGAAUCUCUACUUCCUUGCCAUCUAUAAACACAUUAGGGCUACACUGUGUCUUUGUAUUCCCCACAAGGCAAAAAGAAGUUGUAAUUAAACUUUACGAGGAUCCCCAGUUUCUCCUAGGGAAAAGGGAUACAGAGGAUCUGAAGGCCCCUCCAUUUGCUGGUAUGGUCAGCUGGGUGCUGUGGUCAAGUCUUUCUGUUGUCCUCCUCAUCGUUAAGUCAGCUUGGUCUGCCCUGAGGCCCAGGCUCACUGUGAUGGUGACGAUUUCCACCUUUAGGCAGAGGGCUGGGGACCUUGUAAGUACUAUGUGGGCUUUAUUAGGCUUUAGAUUUGAUGGGCAAUAAGGAGUGUGCUUUGUCUCUAGGGAACUCAUCUUUGAUCCAUCACUGUCUCUUGAAAUGUCUAUCUCACUAUAGUCUACAGAAUGAGAGUGUGGUCUGACUCGGAAAGGAGAGGCGGGCACAGGUGGGAAACCCUACAGCAGCCACAUUCUCACUCUGUCUUUGCAGUGACACUUGCGUUUAUCGAGCGCCUACUAUGUGCCAGGCACUGUGCUCAGGGCAUUCUGUGCAUGAUCGUGGUGAAUCUCACACCCAGCCUCAUCCGGAAAAUGGGGAUGAAUUAACCAAAGGAUGUCAUAUAAAAAAGUAUAACUACAUUCUGCAGAAGCAGAGGGGUGCUUGGUUCUCAUGAAAGCCAGUGGCAUGGAUGUGCUGUCUGGGCUGCCCUGAUCAGAUCAAGGACCCCCGCCGCCACAUCCACCCCCUACUUCCACCCUUUGCUUACUAGACCCUUAGUCAGUGCUCAUUCUAGAGCCAGAGUGUUGGUGAAACUCAACUGGGACCAGAGAUCAGUGUCUUCAGUCCUAGACGACUGGAGAAAAUCCAGAAUUUACACUGGAAUCUCCAAAUACUCUGGGUUUUAGACCAUCUGUGCUGUGAACACUGAGACCCAGAACUCUGAUUUACGGCAAAAGGCUCAUCCUUCUUACAGGUGAACUCUUCCUGAAGCAAACCUGAUAAAUGAAUGUGGAAUUCACACACACACACAAGCACACACACCCUUAAGAAGGUAACCUGUGGAUCUGUGAGGAGGAGGCAGAAAUUCACUAUAUAGAAGAAUGCUUCAUUUCCUAAGAGGAUUUAGGUUAAGAUUCAACUAGGUAAUACAUUUCCCGAAGAUUUUUGAGGUUGUAUUUGCUUUACAAAAUGUAUAUAAGUGGCAGAAGCAGAUUAAAAAUAGCUUAGAUUAUAUGAUUCCAUUUGUGUAAAAUUAUAAAUGUGUAUAGGAAUAUGUGCAUUGCAAGAUGUACAUCAAUUUAUUAACAAGGAUUAUCUCUUGGGGGGGUGGGAAUUGAGAUGCAUUUUCUUUUCUUUGUAUUUUUCUCUAUUGUUUGAUUCUUACACUGAGCAUGUUUAAUUAAAACAAUAAAAUUAUUGAAGGAAAUUGCACAGACAAUUGUGAUGAAUGUAGACAGUGCUAGUGUUGUGCGUUUGUUAGAGGUUGUGUUGUAGAGGUGUGUCGUGGAAGACUGGAGUUCCUGAUGUGUUCAGGGAAGGGGUAGGGCAGAGGGCAAUAUACAGUGUGAUGUUUUUUCAAGAAGAGAAAUGUGUGUGUGUGUGUGUGUGUGUGUGUCUGUUGAAGCCCAGUGGCUAGUGGGUGGUAAGGGAGCAGGUGAUUUUUUUCUCUCCCUUAUUUAUGCUUUUCUGCCCAAACAAGAAGAAAAAGAACUGUCAGUGUACAUGCUACUUUUCAAGAAUCCAUCCAAUGUGUAACCCAGUAAUUCUCAAAGUGUGUUUCCAGGAUGAGCAACAUCAGUCACCUGGGAACUUGUUAGAUAUGUAAAUUAUCAAGCUCCACCCAAGACCUACUGAAUAAGAAACGCUGGCAGUGGGGCCCAGCAAUUUCUGUUUUAACAAUUCCUUCGGCUUGACUAAUGCACACUGAGGUUUUAGAACUGCUGGUGUCAAUCAAGGGACAUCCCCACUCCACCAAACUGGAAUGCGGCUGAUAUUGACAUGCAAGAUGCUGGCCCACUCCUACAGGUGCGUGUGCAGGUGUUCGGCAAAACUCAUCUCUGAGAGAUGAACGGCAGGACCACAAACAUCAAGAUCCUUACCAGUGACUAUUUCGACCAGUGACUAGUAGAUCUCUAAGUUUUUAAGGUACAAACUUUAGGUGCAUAAAAUCACCUGAAGAGGAAAAACGUCACUUGAAGAGGUUGUUAAUUAAGGUAGAUUCCUAGGUUAUGCCCCUGACCUACAGACUUAGCAUCUCCAGGGGCCUGCCAUUUUAACCAUCACCCCUAAGGAAUCCCAUUAAGGAAGUUCAGGGACAACACUGAGCAGCAGCUUUAGGCUUUUUCACACUUUCUUUUUAUUUUUUUUCUGGUACUCCCCUUAUAUUUCUUCUUUCCGUCUCAUCCUUUCCCUUUCUGCUAUGAUCAAUGGGGUCUCAAAAGCAGAUUCAUCAUCUUUCCGGCUCUGUGCUUGGGAGAGAACAGGUGAGAUGCUCCUGGAGAGGUGCCUUGGGAGUAAUAAUAAUAAUGAUGGAAGUAUUGAUUUCCCAUCCUCAGAUAACGGGGAAGGACAUGAUUUAGCAGCUCACAUUGACGGGACAUGGUGGGAAGCUGGACACAGCACUCAAUAGUCGCUGCUGAUUCGUGUCACGAGGCUGCUGGGAUUCAGUGAUUUAGGGACAUGGUGGUUUCCUAAGUCCUCCCCCCAGUCAAACCUUUGUUCGUUAAGGUGAAGAUUCCUGUGUUAGGGUUCUCCAGAGAAAUGGAACCCAUAGAAUUACAUAUAUAGAGAGAUUUAUUAUAGGGAAUUGGCUCAUGUGGCUAUGGAGUCCCACCCGGCAAGUCCCAAGAUCUGCAGGGUGAGUCGUCUAGCUGGAGACCCAGGAGAGCUGGUGGUGUAGUUCUAGUCUGUGUCUGAAGGCCUGAGGACCAGCAGAACUGAAUGUAGUUCCAGUCCGAAGGCCGGCAGGCUCAAGACCCAGAAAGAGCUCACGUUUCAGUUUGAGUCUGAAAACAGGGAAAAAGUGAUGUCCCUGCUCAAUGGUCAGGCUGGAGGAGUUCCCUCUUCCCCUCAGCAGUCAGCCUUUUUGCUCUGUUCAGGCCUUCAACUGAUUGGAUGGGGCCCGCCCACAUUAGGGAGGGCAAUCUGCUUUAUUCCAUCUAUCGAUUUAAAUGUUAAAGUCAUCUAAAAACAUCCUCAUAGACACACCCAGAAAUAUGUUUGGCCAAAUAUCUGGGCACUUUGUGACCCAGUCAACACAUGAAAUUAACCUUCAAAUUCCUUUUUCAUAUUUUUUCACAUCUAGACUCUCUUUCUGUCUUUUUGAUAAUAUUUCAGAGAGGCAGUCCAGAGCUUGGGUGUUGGGUGGCAGACAGUCUGGAAAAAUGCUUUAUGGGGAGGGAUGCAGUUUUCUUGCCCAGUUCCUCUUUGCUCUUUGUAGCAUUCAGGCGCUUUGGGGAAAUGUUUGUGAAGGAAGCCCUGUUCCUGUCUCCUGGGGUGCCUCUUCCAAGUGAAGAACUCACUGCGAUUAUUCCUGGGAAAGUGCAGACAGUAUAAUUACAACUUUCCUAUAUUAGGUGUUCACAAUGCUCCAGCUGUCUUAUAUAUAAAGAAAGAUCUCCAUCUUCUAGGUGAGAAAACUGAAGCUGGGGAGGUCGUAUAUUUUGCUUAAAUUUCACAUACAAUUAAGUGUCACAGCCAGGAUGUUAAUCAAUGCUGACAAUUCAGAGCCUACGUUCUUUUCACUAAAGUUUGUACUGGGCUUUACAGUUUAUAAAGCACUUUAACACACGUUAUUAUAUUUGCUGAAUAUAGCAUUCCCCAGAAGUAGACAUUAUAACCAUAAUUUUAGGGAUGGGAAAACGGAGUUUUAAAAGCUUAUACAACUUGUCUGUACCCCGUGUCCUAUGACUAGUAACUGGUGAAGUUGAGCCUAAAAUCCACAAUCUGUGUGAUAAAAAGAUAACUUUUAUCUUAAAAAUUCAUAGGAAUAUACAAAACUUGGAAUGAAAGAAAAAAAAAUCUCCUGCCUCAGUUUCUCCAAUGUAACUGAAAACAGAAAUGUGUACAUUGAGGCCCACUCUGACUUAUUGCUCCGUCUUUGGUAAGCAGGAGUGAGCCCUUAUACAUGAGCAGUUCCACCCUCUGGGGCACCGUCAUACUUUAAAAUAUACUAAAAUUACGUUGUUGGUAGCUUUUAAGAAACCAGAAUGUAUUUUUGCUGUGUGUCCUGCAAUACUAGUAAGACU